rnacentral:rRNA from 1 species
CCUACGGGUGGCAGCAGUGGGGAAUAUUGGACAAUGGGGGAAACCCUGAUCCAGCAACGCCGCGUGGGGGAUGAAGGUCUUCGGAUUGUAAACCCCUGUUGAGAGGGACGAAGGCUUGAGGGCAAACAGUCCUCAAGCUUGACGGUACCUCGAGAGGAAGCCCCGGCUAACUCUGUGCCAGCAGCCGCGGUAAUACAGAGGGGGCGAGCGUUAUUCGGAAUUAUUGGGCGUAAAGGGCGCGUAGGCGGCCGCGCAAGUCUCGGGUGAAAUCCCUCGGCUCAACCGAGGAACUGCCCUGGAAACUGCGCGGCUCGAGGCCGGGAGAGGAUGGUGGAAUUCCCAGUGUAGCGGUGAAAUGCGUAGAUAUUGGGAGGAACACCGGUGGCGAAGGCGGCCAUCUGGACCGGUCCUGACGCUGAGGCGCGAAAGCGUGGGGAGCAAACAGGAUUAGAUACCCUUGUAGUC